CUCUUAUCAAGAGUGGCAGAGGGACUGGCCCUGUGACGCCCAGCAACCGUUCCAAAUGGAAUUGGUGCUAAAUCCUGCAAAACAUUUAUUUGUUUUGAAAGAUAAGAG
rnacentral:ncRNA from 2 species